CAGAGGGACCAAAUAACCACACCCAAACUCCUGACCCACAGAAAUUGUAAUAUAACUGUGUGUUGUAUUUUUUUUUUUUUUUUUCCACAAAUAGCACUUUUUAUUUGACACUAAUUGAAGUCUGAACUUUAAACAGAUUCUUGGACUGGUGGUUCAUAUCCAUCAGCUCGUUCAACUUUAGCACCUCUCUCGUCCCCAGUGGCUUUUCCAGAACUACUGCCUUCACCAUGAAGCUCCAUGAGCUUUCCUAAUUCAAACUUGGGCUUCUUCAGCAUUUUUACUUUUCUAACGAAGACAUCAUGGAGAGGAUAAAUAGAUUGGCAAGCCCUUUCUAUGUCUUUUCCAAUGCUGUCUGGAAUCAAUUUAUUGACCACUUCUAUCAAGUCAUUUGUCUGCACCUCUCGGGUCAUGAUUUACAUCAUCUUCUUCCGGAUUUGGCGGACCUGUUGGUGCUGAGCAUAAGAGGUCUUCCAUAUCUGAUUGUUCCAUUUUUUAGUAAAACCAACACAGAACAGACGAAGCAAGCAACCAUCAGUAGUCUUGACAUCAACAUGAGCUUCAAUCAUUAUCUGCCACUUUUUGACCAUGGAACACAUUUUGUCACAGGUAAGAUCCAUGCCAUGGAAGUUAGUCAGGCAGUUUUUGCCCUGAACAUCUUCAGUAAUCAGCUUGAAUUUUCUAAAUGCAACUUCAUCAUUCUGCAAAUCAGCAAGACUCACUUCAAACACACGACCCUUGAGACCAUCAGAUGCAAUUUUGGUUCCUUGGGUCCUGGUGAUGAAUGUCUUUCCAAUAUUUCUUAUAUUGAACACAGCAGGUGCUUUCACAUCAUACCAAUCUUUCUUAGAAAAUGGAUCAACCACUUUCUUCUUGGCUCCCUUUUUGCUGCCUUUCGUAAGGCGCUUGUUCUUGCCAACUGCCAUGGUGCUGAUCAGAGAGCCGAAAGGGCUGUGUUGUGUUUUAAGCUGCUACGUUUGUGGCAACAUUGUUAUGCUGCAGAAGGUAAAUAAUACAGAUUUUGUACUGUAAGUGGAGUGCU
rnacentral:lncRNA from 1 species